rnacentral:rRNA from 1 species
UACAGAGGGUGCGAGCGUUAAUCGGAAUUACUGGGCGUAAAGCGUGCGUAGACGGUAGCGUAAGUCAGAUGUGAAAGCCCCGGGCUCAACCUGGGAACUGCAUUUGUGACUGCACAGCUGGAGUGCGGCAGAGGGGAUGGAAUUCCGCGUGUAGCAGUGAAAUGCGUAGAUAUGCGGAGGAACACCGAUGGCGAAGGCAAUCCCCUGGGCCUGCACUGACGUCAUGCACGAAAGCGU